rnacentral:tRNA from 1 species
UGAUAGCUAGUUUAUGUAAAACAAAUGAUUUCGACUCAUUAGAUUAUGAUUUCCCCAUAGCUAUUAA